GAUGAACGCUGGCGGCGUGCUUAACACAUGCAAGUCGAACGGGAUCCAGGCAGCUUGCUGUCUGGUGAGAGUGGCGAACGGGUGAGUAAUGCGUGACCAACCUGCCCCAUGCUUCGGAAUAGCUCCUGGAAACGGGUGGUAAUGCCGGAUGCUCCGCAUCAUCGCAUGAUGGUGCGGGAAAGGGUUUACCGGCAUGGGAUGGGGUCGCGUCCUAUCAGCUUGUUGGCGGGGUGAUGGCCUGCCAAGGCUUCGACGGGUAGCCGGCCUGAGAGGGCGACCGGCCACAUUGGGACUGAGAUACGGCCCAGACUCCUACGGGAGGCAGCAGUGGGGAAUAUUGCACAAUGGGCGCAAGCCUGAUGCAGCGACGCCGCGUGCGGGAUGACGGCCUUCGGGUUGUAAACCGCUUUUGAUUGGGAGCAAGCGAGAGUGAGUGUACCUUUCGAAUAAGCACCGGCUAACUACGUGCCAGCAGCCGCGGUAACAC
rnacentral:rRNA from 1 species